rnacentral:misc_RNA from 1 species
GUAAAGUCCUACUACAAACAGGAGAAAGGACUAUUACUUGCAAAGCGAGCAAAGCCGCCUUAAUCCUAACAAUCCGUAUCUAAAUUGGAUAUCAUUCUAUAAUUUCAACAUUCAAUCUUUUCUUCAACUUUAAAUCUUGCAUUAGUUCAAGAGAAUCGUGUUUCUUGUAUUAAAAACUCUCUUCCAGUGUUGCGUUACCCCAGCCAUCAUAGCUACCACAAGAACUCUAGUCAUAGAUCUCAUCUCGUUUGUUCCUCUUGUUGAUUGAUCAUUCCUUAGUUUGCUAUCCUUGUCUGCUAUGGAUAUCUCGAUGAAAACUAUCAACCCCCAAAAACCAUUUU